rnacentral:rRNA from 1 species
UACGGGGGGGGGCAAGCGUUGUUCGGAAUUACUGGGCGUAAAGGGCUCGUAGGCGGCCAACUAAGUCGGAUGUGAAAUCCCCAGGCUUAACCUGGGAACUGCAUCCGAUACUGGAUGGCUUGAAUUCGGGAGAGGAGAGUGGAAUUCCUGGUGUAGCGGUGAAAUGCGCAGAUAUCAGGAAGAACACCCGUGGCGAAAGCGGCUCUCUGGAACGGUACUGACGCUGAGACG